rnacentral:rRNA from 1 species
AUUGAACGCUGGCGGCAGGCCUAACACAUGCAAGUCGAACGAGUGGCGGACGGGUGAGUAAUGUCUGGGAAACUGCCCGAUGGAGGGGGAUAACUACUGGAAACGGUAGCUAAUACCGCAUACCAUCGGAUGUGCCCAGAGGGGAUUAGCUAGUAGGUGGGGUAAUGGCUCACCUAGGCGCCGAUCCCUAGCUGGUCUGAGAGGAUGACCAGCCAACCUGGAACUGAGACACGGUCCAGACUCCUACGGGAGGCAGCAGUGGGGAAUAUUGCACAAUGGGCGCAAGCCUGAUGCAGCCAUGCCGGGUGUAUGAAGAAGGCCUUCGGGUUGUAAAGUACUUUCAGCGAGGAGGGGGAACUGAAAAAAGAAGCACCGGCUAACUCCGUGCCAGCAGCCGCGGUAAUA